UACGGGGGUAGCAAGCGUUGUUCGGAUUUACUGGGCGUAAAGGGCGCGUAGGCGGUCAGCACAAGUCAGUUGUGAAAUCUCCGAGCUUAACUCGGAAAGGUCAACUGAUACUGUGCGACUAGAGUGCAGAAGGGGCAACUGGAAUUCUUGGUGUAGCGGUGAAAUGCGUAGAUAUCAAGAGGAACACCUGAGGCGAAGGCGGGUUGCUGGGCUGACACUGACGCUGAAGCGUGAGAGCCAGGGGAGCGAACGGG
rnacentral:rRNA from 1 species